UACAGAGGGUGCGAGCGUUGUCCGGAAUCACUGGGCGUAAAGGGCGCGUAGGCGGCUUGAUAAGUAGGGGGUGAAAUCCUGUGGCUUAACUGCAGGGCUGCCUCCUAGACUGUCUGGCUCGAGCACGGUAGAGGCAGAUGGAAUUCCCGGUGUAGCGGUGGAAUGCGUAGAGAUCGGGAAGAACAUCGGUGGCGAAGGCGGUCUGCUGGGCCGUUGCUGACGCUGAGGCGCGACAGCGUGGGGAGCAAACAGG
rnacentral:rRNA from 1 species